UACAGAGGUCUCAACCGUUAUUCGGAAUUAUUGGGCGUAAAGGGCGCGUAGGCGGCCUUUCAAGUGACGGGUGAAAUCCCUCGGCUUAACCGAGGAACUGCCUGUCAGACUGGAAGGCUUGAGACCGGGAGAGGUGAGUGGAAUUCCCAGUGUAGCGGUGAAAUGCGUAGAUAUUGGGAGGAACACCAGUGGCGAAGGCGGCUCACUGGACCGGUACUGACGCUGAGGCGCGAAAGCGUGGGGAGCAAACAGG
rnacentral:rRNA from 1 species